AAGGGAAUCUGGUGAUAUGUAGCAGAAGCCACCAGGGCCUGCUCCACCAGGGAGAACGCGGAGCAGCAGAGUCAGCGGAAGGAGUGCCAGUGCGUACACCUCCUCUCUGUUUACAAAGCAAAGCUGCUUGUAAGAAGUGCGCUUGAGGAAAGAGUGCAUUUUACAUUUCAUCACUUCAUCACUCUGUUUAUUAAAAUCUUUGUUGACUUGAUAUAUACAUUCAGAAAAGUGCAUGUAUCAAAAGCUCACUGAUUUUUUUAUACACUGGAAACACUUGUGUGAAAUACCACUGAAGGAUUCACUUUAAAAUGGUUGUGUAUUAAUGCAAAUUUCACCUCAACAAACAAAAAAAGCCCCAGAACUCAAGCAGCCCCGCAGAGCCCCCUUGAGCUGCAUUUUGUUGGAAGUGUCGGGGUGGAAUCACCAGGGUCAACGGUUUCCCAUUUCCACUCCCGCUGGCACGUCCGCAGACCCCUGCCGGUCCCACACGCACCCCAACGCUUGCUGUCUUCUCAUUUCUGCUGGGUGGGUGGUAGUAUGAUAUUGUGGCUUUACUUUGCAUUUCCUUGAUGUUUAAUGAACCUGAGCACCUUUUCAUAUGCUUCUCAGGCAUUUGAAGUUUUAUAAUAGUUUUAAAUAGGGGUCUUUUUUCCUUACAUGAAACUUUGAUGAGAGUGAUCAUUUCUUUUUUAUUCCCCAACCAUGAUCCAGUUCAGAAAACAUCAAGGACCUUGCUGCCUCUCCAGGAAGUGUAGCAAAAGGCACCUGCCUGCUGUGCUGGGGAAGAGCAGUGGGCCAGGUUAGCCCCCUGUCCCUGGUGUGCUACACUUACAGGUGGGCAUUGGGCUGAAGGACUCUCUGGCCCUUGCUGUUGGGUCGGGGAUGCAGUCAGAAAGGAGCAUGAAGGGCAUCUGUCCCGGCAGGGCCAUGUGGCCAGACCAGGAAGGGCUGCUCAAAGAAGAACAAAGGCUUCUCUGCCCUGAUGGAGAUGCUGACACCUUCAGAAAGACGUGUUUGUGGCAUCGGCGUCAUUUCUUUCUGUGGCUACCAAGGCCGAGAACUUCUCUGUGCUCCACCUCAUGGCCAGGGUUCUUACAGCCGCAGGCCUUCUGUGUGCAUUAGCUAGCUAACUUGUUUCUUCUUUCAUUCAUCCAAUAAGUAUGACUAAACUCCUGCAGUAUCUUCAGCAUCGGCAAUUCCACACUAAAUAAGUAAAACCCUUGCCUUCACAGAGAUCGAAAACAAACAGGAAAACUGUAAUGUCAUGUUGGGUGUCUGGAGCUGUGGAGAGAAAUGAAGGGGGCCCUGGAGAGCCAUGGCUGUGCCAAGGCCAGGGUGGCGUCCUGGAGAACCUGCCUUGGAGUGGAGUGCUGGAUCUGGGGAGGGGGGAGUGCUGCUGGGCAUUUCAUGGACACAUAGGCAGGAGGUGGGCAGGAGCACUGAGAGCAAGGGGGAGAUGGGAGAGGGCAGGGGCCUGGUCAGGGUCUCAGGGCCCUGGGCGAGGAAUUUGAAUUGCAGUCCAGGUGAGAGGGAUGGGAAGGACAAGGCUUUCAGUGAGCUGCCUGGGCUCUUAGAGAGUGACCCUGGCUCCCUCAUGGAAAAGCAGCCAUCUGGCCCUUGAGUUCAGCACCUCUCCAAGCUCCUUCCUGUCCCUAGACUGGCAGGGACUUCCAGGGACAGCCUUGGCCCCCUUUCCGCUCUGCCUUGCCAUCUCCCAUCGCUUGUCAUCGCUUCUGUGUUGGGUUUGCCCUCUGGUCCUGUUCCCUAGAGCCAUGCUCUGGUCAUGAGUGUUACAGGGCCAGGGCAGGGCCUGUCAGGGGAACAGAGUGCAGACCCCCUCUGUGGGCCCCUCUGGGCCCUCGCAUCCCACUGCCUUGGAGAGGAGAGAGCAAGAUAGAAACAGGUCCUGAGAUGAGGUGGCGGCAUACAAGCUAUCUCACACUUCUGCACCCUUCCAGGUGCGUUUCUGAAAUGCAUCAAUGCUGUGAGAUCUACACUGACUUCAGGGAUGUGGCAAACCCCCUAUUUCUUGUAACCAGCCAGCGACAGUCAUUGUGGAGCCCUGCCUGUGCCCCAGGCAGCCCUGUGCACUAAGAAAGCCAGGCCUGGGAGACACUGACUUGUCGUUUGCCUCCAGGCGUUUUUAGUUGUAACAGACUAGUUCUUGUUUCCCAUCACCUAGAAUCUGUUGAUCUGUCUGGAUCUUAGUUCCUGAGCCUCCUGCUCUGCAAGACGCACCCUGCACAUGCACGCUCACGUGGGGCACACACACCCAGGUGCCCAUCAUGCCAGCAGGUGCACAGUUGGAGAAAUCGACUCCCCAGACCAGACUCCCCAGAGCGCGGGGAGCGGCCAAGUGUCCUCGCACAAACUGGGGUGGAAUUGAUACAGGGGCCAGGGAGGUCCCUAAACACUAGUGGGACCCUGACCCUAGCCAGCAUCCAGGCUCUUGACACUGUUGUGAGAAGGAUUUCAAGGAUGAGUCAGAAAACAGUGAAAGUACAAAGAUUUAUUGCAGAGUGAAGAGUACACUCUUGCAAAAAGAAAGUGUGGGGGCAGACUCAAGAGAGCCACAGAAUGGGGUUUGGGGCUGCUAUCUUUAUGGGUUUCUUUAACCGAGGGGUGGAAUAUUCAUGAAAAUUCCUGGAAAAAGGUGGAGAUUUAUUGGAAUUGUGGUGCUACCCAUUCUUUCUUUCUUUUUUUUUUUUUUGAGUUGGAGUUUCACUCUUGUUGCCCAGGCUGGAGUGCAAUGGUUCGAUCUUGGCUCACCACAAACUCUGCCUCCCAGGUUCAAGCAAUUCUCCUGCCUCAGCCUCCCAAGUAGCUGGGAUUAUAGGCACACACCACCACACCUGGCUGAUUUUGUAUUUUAGUAGAGACAGUGUUUCUCCAUGUUGGUCAGGCUGGUCUCGAACUCCUGACCUCAGGUGAUCCUCCCACCUCGGCCUCCCAAAGUGCUGGGAUAACAGGCAUGAGCCACCGUGCCUGGCCCAGUGUCACCCAUUCUUACACCAAAUAAGGGUGUCCUGGAACUGUCAUGGUGUUGGUGGUGUGUGAUUGAGUGCGUCAGUGAGCAGAUAAUGAGGUCCGAGGUGAGACCUAGCUCAAAUCCAGCUCUGCACUGGGUCCGGUCAGUCUUAGCCAGCUUGGUCCACACCCUGUUUUUCAGGGUCAGGGCCUAGUCACCCUAUAGCCUCCAGUUAUAUGAAACUGUUGCCUGGAAUGUGUAUUCUUCUGUGACCACCUGUAUUAUUCCUGUCACAGAAUCGUGACACAGCAGCAGCCCUUUCCCAGUGUGUGGGGCACAGUUACAUUCCUAGGUGUGGAAGGAAGACCUUUGCUGCAUUAAAUUAUCCCCAGCAUCUGUUUGCUGCUUUUAACACGAGUGACUUAAAGGGACAUGGGUUAGAAGAAGGAGGGAGGAGAUUUGUGCCAGGGAUGAAAGAAAAUGGCUAAAAGAUGAAUGAAAGUUGCAUAUAUCUCUUUUUCUUCUGUAAAUAACUCAUGAUAAAAGGGAAUAAAAUUUAGGUUUUCCCCACUUGGAAGAGACAUGGCCAAACGGAGUGUGUGCUUUUCCUAAACCACCGUGAAGGUAGCAUGAAAACCAGGCUUGCUCUUCAGAGACUAGGAGGCUCCUGUUUUGGGCACUCCAUCUGCCCUGCUGCCGUGAAAGCUCUCGGACCCAAAUGGCUUCCUGUGAUCCACUGUGGUCUGCUUAUUAUAUUCCCUUCAGCUAUGUUUAUAACUCUGUCAACAGCCACAGCGUGAGUACCCCAAUCGGAUAACAAUAACCUAAAAUUUUAAAUGCUCAAAAGUCAGAAACAUUUUAAGUGACAAUAUGAUGCUCAAAGGAAAUGUCCAUUGGAGCAUUUUAGAUUCAGAUUUUUGGAUUAGGAAGGUGGAUGUAUAAUAGAAUAACUGGUAAGUAUAAUGCAAGUUUUCAAGAUCCAAAAAAGUUCAAAAUUCGAAACACUUCUGACUCCAGGCAUUUUGGAUAAGGGAUACCCAACCUAUAUUAUGAAGUGGUAGCAAGAAAAUUACAUUGAAAUGGAACAUUUUUUCAGUUUAUGUAUCCUUUUGUGAGGUUUUUAUUUCAAAAUAUCACAGUCCAAGCCAAAAAAUAUACGUGGGUGUUUCAGUUUAUGAAAACUGUAAGUUAUGUUUACUUUUCUAUAUGUAUAUAUUUUUUUACCUCAAUAAAAUGAUAGCCCCAAA
rnacentral:lncRNA from 1 species